CCCUCGCUCAGGCCGCUGUCGUGCUCCCCUCGCUCAGGCCGCCGGCCAUGCUCCCCUCGCUCAGGCCGCCCGUGCUCCCCUCGCUCAGGCCGCCGCCCGUGCUCCCCUCGCUCAGGCCGCCCGUGCUCCCCUCGCUCAGGCCGGGGCCGCAGCUACUCUGAGGCUGUGAAGGACAGUGAGUCGGUGGGGCUCCCUAAAACGGUCCCAGUGUUCAAACGGGGCAUCGCUCAUCCUGCUCGAAGACAUCAAAACAUCUACGCCCCAACAUUCCAACCAAACAAAACCCAAAAAGCAUGAAAACAGGUAAAAUGUAUGCAAGAAACGGCCAACUCUAGAGAUUAACGCCAGUGGGAUGGACCCGACUACCUCCCCAACUGCACUGCCGCGGUGAUAAUUAAAGCUCAUUUAGUACGUCCAGUGUCUAAAAAGCUUAGCCAACUGUGGCCUCUGCAGUGUCCUGCUAACCCUGCGAGAGGACGUCCAUCACCCCAAACUACAAAUCCCACGACAAAACUUUCGAAGACCUUACGAGCAAGCGUCUGGCGGCAGCUGGGCCUCCCGGGCGGCUUCCCUGGAGUGUAGCCUGACAAGGCCGCCUGCACGACCAAUGAAACGACAAUAACAACAAAAAAAGUAGCCCUUUGUCUGCCUCCCUCAUGCUGACGUGAUCAAUGGAACCAUCUGGGUCCAGGUGAAGGGCUGAAGCUUCCUUUUCCCCAAUAAAGACGACCCGUCCUCUCCAUGCCACCCUGAGUGGAGGCUCACAGAAGGACGGGCUGCACUGUGAGCACCAGUAUGAUGGAAAGUGAAGUGAAAUGACAUUUUCCAAUUCUGUGACUUUAUUCGAAAACCACUCUAGAAGCCUAGCCGGUUCCUGAACUUCUCAAGAAACAGUGGAACCCACAAGAGUAUUCUCCAUUAACUCAAUAAUUUCUAGAACCUCCUGAAGUCUUUGCAAAUGAAAAGAAGUUCAUUCAAACCUCCAAGUGAAUGUUCGUUCAGUCUGGGCUUUACAAUCUGACACAGUUCAGGAGCAGACCGGUAGCUUCACUUGAUUGUCUUCAAGACCUACCAGUCCACCUUGGAGUCUGCGUGACUGACUCCAUGACAAAACUGUAUUUGUCAAGCUUUAGACCAAUCUAGGUAAGACCCAAACAAAUACUUGUCUGAACAGUGAGCUCUUUAGGCUUUCUCUUUCCACCAGUGCCCACAGGGUUAAACAUCGGAUUUAGAGAGCACAGGUACGUUACGUCAGACUCAUUAGUAAUUUAACCUUUCUUAAUCCCUGGAAAUAACAUACGCAAACAAAAAGAGUUCCCAUCCAGAAAUCCUAGAAUAAAUUCCCCCCAAAGUAGUGACAGUCACAUAGCUCCCCCCGCUUUCUUAAAGGUCUAUGCCACCGGGCUCUCCACCUUGGCAGAGAAAAAAUGGAAAGACAAGAUAUUCACAAAAGCCCUACCAAAGGCCUUCAAGUUAAGUGCUAGAAGGAAACUGAAGUUCUGUGCCAACCCUAGUGGAAUGUGGGCAGGCACAAAGAGAUCUUAAUUAGGAGACCUGCAAUUAAAACAGUCUCCAGAAGAGAGAGAAGAGAGUCUGUUCUGCCUCAGAGCAAGCAAGGCACGGCUGCCACACCCCCCCACCGGCUGCGGGCGAGGCCGGCGGCUCGGGGGCCUCGUGGGCACAGAUGCCCCGCGGAAGGACGGCGCCGGGAGACUGAGUCAAGAUGGGGGGGGGGUUUCUCUUCUCCGCGUCCAGUCAGAAGGCAAAUCACUGUUCUGUGAGUGAGGAUUCACAAGAGGAGAAGAACUGUGCCUUCAGAACACAAACGGAAGGAGAAGACGGGACGGGUCGUAUGCUUUUCAGCGAGAAUGCAGAGAAGUGCCACAGCCGGCCUUCUGAUGCUCCGCUCGAACCACAGUCCUACCUCGCGCAGCCCGGGAAGAGCUAUCUGGGCGAGGCAGGCGCAGUCACUCUGGACUCGGUCACUGGCACAGACGUUUUCUCUUCAUUUUCAAGCUGUCACACCUAAAGGAAUACACCAGGGGGGCUGAAAUACUUCCCUCUGGCGGUCCGGAGGCCACAACACUGAAACCUGAAGCAAACUCAGCCGGACAAGAGGCCGCUCAACACAAGAGGACGCCUUACACUCAAAGUCUGAUCUCCAACUUUCCUAUACAGGAAAUCGGUCAAUUUCAACAAAGGGCUUUUCCCACACAGGCCAGUGCUUCUAGCUUGUUCAUACAACGAAAACUUUCCCACUCCGCUGAAAUGUCUCUUCCCAAUGACAACACUGGUUACAUGGGCACAUGUACAGACUAAUAUUAAAAAUUACCAAAUGGGCUCACCGACUUGACUCUUUAAAAAAACUCAGAGUAAGAAGUUCUGACCCGGCCCCCGAAAAUAACAGCACAGAAGCGAAUCAGAAUACUGGGGCAGGAAGGACCACAAGCUGAUAUUUAGCCCAGCCUUUUCAUUUUACAGAUCAGACACGUAAGGGUGAAAGUGAACUGCCCGAAACCCCGUACGGCCCACCGAGCGGGAGGGUGAGGGCAGCGCUUGCCCCCCGACGUGCCCUCUGAGGCUUCGUCUGUCCCACUUGCGUUCUCUGCUUCUCUUUCCUUCUGUCCAGCUCAGGGUUAGCUGUGAAGGCAAUGAAGGAACAACUCCUCCUCUUGGUUCACACGCCCAGUGAACAUCCACAACAAAACCCAAAAUCAUAAACCCUCUCCGACCACCCUCUGCCGACAGGAACAGCAUCUUUCCUAGGCCCAACCCAAGAACGCACCUUAGUCCACCUCAACUGAACUGCCUUUUCGAAUGAAACAAACAGACCAAUGUUGUCAUUCGGUUUCAACGUAUAUCUACUUAAAACGUGCCACGUUAUGAUCGCAAUGGAAA